AUGCCCUUAGUUUAUCGGUAGAACAGAGGUUUCCAAAACCUUAGGGGUGGGUUCAAUUCCUACAGGGCAUG
rnacentral:tRNA from 1 species